rnacentral:misc_RNA from 1 species
AGGAGUGGAGUGGGUCUCUGAAGGGUAUAAGAAAGGACUUGAUCACUGUGGGUGAGCAAGAAUGAAGAAACCCGUGAAUAGAAUAAGAACUGAGAAGUGGAUCUUUGUGGGUGAGAACAAGAACCAAGAAAAGAGAAGGAAGAAGAUUCGGCUAUGGGCUGUGGCUGCGCGAAUAAGGGAAGGGAAAAUGAGGGCGUGAGUCUG